AGUGAACGCUGGCGGUAGGCCUAACACAUGCAAGUCGAACGGCAGCACAGUAAGAGCUUGCUCUUACGGGUGGCGAGUGGCGGACGGGUGAGGAAUACAUCGGAAUCUACUUUUUCGUGGGGGAUAACGUAGGGAAACUUACGCUAAUACCGCAUACGACCUACGGGUGAAAGCAGGGGAUCUUCGGACCUUGCGCGAUUGAAUGAGCCGAUGUCGGAUUAGCUAGUUGGCGGGGUAAAGGCCCAGCAAGGCGACGAUCCGUAGCUGGUCUGAGAGGAUGAUCAGCCGCAUUGGAACGGGGACACGGUCCAGACUCCUACGGGAGGCAGCAGUCGGGAAUAUUGGACAAUGGGCGCAAGCCUGAUCCAGCCAUACCGCGUGGGUGAAGAAGGCCUUCGGGUUGUAAAGCCCUUUUGUUGGGAAAGAAAAGCAGCAGGUUAAUACCCCGCUGUUCUGACGGUACCCAAAGAAGAAGCACCGGCUAACUUCGUG
rnacentral:rRNA from 1 species